rnacentral:rRNA from 1 species
UACAGAGGGUGCGAGCGUUAAUCGGAAUUACUGGGCGUAAAGCGCGCGUAGGCGGCUUUGCAAGUCGGGUGUGAAAUCCCCAGGCUUAACCUGGGAACUGCAUUCGAGACUGCAUUGCUAGAGUAUGGGAGAGGGAAGUGGAAUUUUCGGUGUAGCGGUGAAAUGCGUAGAUAUCGGAAGGAACAUCAGUGGCGAAAGCGACUUCCUGGACCAAUACUGACGCUCAUGUGCGAAAGCGUGGGGAGCAAACAGG